AACGAACGCUGGCGGCAUGCCUAACACAUGCAAGUCGAACGAGACCUUCGGGUCUAGUGGCGCACGGGUUCGUAACGCGUGGGAACCUUCCCUUAGGUUCGGAAUAACUCCCCGAAAGGGGUGCUAAUACCGGAUAAUGUCUUCGGACCAAAGAUUUAUCGCCUUUGGAUGGGCCCGCGUUGGAUUAGCUAGUUGGUAGGGUAAAAGCCUACCAAGGCGACGAUCCAUAGCUGGUCUGAGAGGAUGAUCAGCCACACUGGGACUGAGACACGGCCCAGACUCCUACGGGAGGCAGCAGUGGGGAAUAUUGGACAAUGGGCGAAAGACUGAUCCAGCAAUGCCGCGUGAGUGAUGAAGGCCUUAGGGUUGUAAAGCUCUUUUACCCGGGAUGAUAAUGACAGUACCGGGAGAAUAAGCUCCGGCUAACUCCGUG
rnacentral:rRNA from 1 species